AUGCUGGGGCAGGCGCCAUGGGCAAGGCUGUCUCCUCCUGGCCCUACCGUCCUGCUGCUGGCCCUCUGUGCUGUCAUGACCACUCAGGACAUUUGCAACUCCACACGUGAUGGUGACCUCACAGCUCCGGCCCUCUUCCUGAACACCUCUAGUGCUCAGGAAGGGGAAUCGUUUUCGCUUCGCUGUACCAUUGAUGGUCAUUCAGCCCCUACCCGAAUUGUAUUCUGCAAGGACAGGAUGGAGGCACACAGCCUGAAAGGGCAACUAGGAAAACUGAUCUACACCAUCACUCUGAAGGUCACCCAGGGGAGCGAGGGGACGUACAUGUGUGGAUACCAGCUCAAAGAUGACAACAACCGAGUAAGGAGCUCUGCCCUCAGUGCUGGCCGCAUCCUGCAUGUCCCCGGUGCUGGCGUGACCACCCAGGACAUCGGCAGCUCCCCAGGUCAUGGCAAUGCAUCCAAGUCCCUGGCAGGGCCAAUGGCUCCAGGUGAGUGAUUCCCUUCUGCUCAAUGAGAGCCCCCAUCAUGGGGCUCAGGGCUGCCAGGCUGCUGUCCCCAGGGCACGGGGCCAAUGCAGGAGCUUCAUCAGGAAGGAGGUGUGCCAGCUGCAUGGGCACGUCCUGCUCCCUGCCUCUCCUCAUCAUACCCCGCUGCCCUCACAACCUCUGUCCCUCAACUCCCUAUGCCCAGAUCCCACACGCUUUCCCCACAGGCAUGGCGCUGGCAGUGGCAGCCAUCAGCCUCGUCCUCCUGGCUGCAGGCAGCUGGUUUGCCAUCAGGAAAGGUGAGGGAGUGGGGGAAGGCGGGGGGAAGUCUGAGGCCGUGGGGG
rnacentral:lncRNA from 1 species